UAGCCAUGGUGUGGGCAAGCAAGAAGUAAGUCCUUGAACCAUUCCCAACAUUCGAAAAAAGUUUUAUCUAUUUUUUGGGAGAAGUUCAUUAUGUCUCGUCUGAGAGU